ensembl:lncRNA
AUAACCAAUCACAUUAUGCCUACUGUACAAUACAUAACCAAUCACAUUAUGCAUCUGUACAAUACAUAACCAAAAUCACAUAUGCCUACUGACAAUAAUAACCAAUCACAUAUGCAUACUGUACAAUAAAACCAAUCACAUUAUGCAACUGUACAAUAUAUAACCAAUCACAUUAGCAUACUGUACAAUAUAUAACCAAUCACAUGAUGCAUACUGUACAAUAAUAACCAAUCACAUUAUGCAUACUGUACAAUAUAUAACCAUCACAUUAUGCUACUGUACAAAUAAUAACCAAUCAAAUUAUGCAUACUGUACAAUACAUAAACAAUCACAUUAUGCAUACUGUACAGUACAUAACCAAUCACAUUAUGCAACUGUCAAUACAUAACCAAUCACAUUAUGCCUACUGUACAGUACAUAACCAAUCACAUUAUGCAUACUGUACAAUACAUAACCAAUCACAUUAUGCCUACUGUACAGUACAUAACCAAUCACUAUGCCUACUGUACAAUACAUAACCAAUCACAUUAUGCCUACUGUACA